rnacentral:ncRNA from 20 species
UAAUUAAUGGCGUUAAACUGAAUAUCAAAGCAGGUCUGAUGGUAGGAAGACGGGUGAAAGUCCCGCACUGUCUCGCAACUGUAUUUGCCGAGCGAUGACCAUAGCGCCACUGGGAACCCGGGAAGGCGGUCAAAGCGACGACGCAUAAGUCAGGAUACACAGUCAGAUUUGAAACCGGC